UGCGGUUUGGAACAAAAUAGCACGCGAGCGCAGCGGGAGAGCUCAAUUUGAAAGCUGGCGUCCUACGGGCGUCCGCAUUGUAAUCUAUAGAGGCGUUUUCUGUGCUGGACCGUGUCCAAGUCCCUUGAACAGGGUAUCAAAGAGGGUGACAAUCCCGUACUUGACACGACAACCAGUGCUCUGUGAUACGUCUUCUACGAGUCGAGUUGUUUGGGAAUGCAGCUCAAAAUGGGUGGUGAAUUCCAUCUAAAGCUAAUAUUGGCGAGAGACCGAUAGCGAACAAGUACCGUGAGGGAAAGAUGAAAAGCACUUUGGAAAGAGAGUUAAACAGUAUGUGAAAUUGUUGAAAGGGAAACGAUGGAGGUCAGUCGUGUCUGUGGGUUCAGCCGUCUCUGGCGGUGUACUUCCCACAGACGGGUCAACAUCAGUUUUGGCUGGCGGAUAAAGGCAGGAGGAAGGUGGCACCCCCGGGUGUGUUAUAGCCUCUUGUUGCAUACGCUGGCUGAGAUGAGGAAUGCAGCUCGCCUUUAUGGCCGGGGUUCGCCCACGUUCGAGCUUAGGAUGUUGACAUAAUGGCCUUCAACGACCGUCUUGAAACAAGGGAACAACUGCUGUUUUUUUUUUGAAGGAAAGAUUGUCUUGUUUUUAUUAUUAAAAAAAGAAACAUUUUUUUUUUAUAAAAAAAAAAUAUUUUUUUUUUUUUUAAAAAAAAAAGAUCUUUUUUUUUUUUAAAAAAGAGAGAGUCUUUUUUUUUUUGACAGAAAAGGUCUCGAUUUUGAGAGACAGAGAGAUGCUCUUUUC
rnacentral:rRNA from 1 species